AGCGAACGUUAGCGGCGGGCCUAACACAUGCAAGUCGAGCGAGAAAGGAGCUUCGGCUCCGAGUACAGCGGCGGACGGGUGAGUAAUACGUAGGUAACCUGCCCUUCAGUGGGGGACAACGGUCCGAAAGGACCGCUAAUACCGCAUCCGUUUCUCGGGUCCCCGGACUCGAGAAGGAAAGCUGCCCGCAAGGGUGGCGCUGGAGGAGGGGCCUACGUCGCAUCAGCUAGUUGGUGGGGUAAUGGCCUACCAAGGCGAAGACGCGUAGCUGGUCUGAGAGGAUGAUCAGCCACACUGGGACUGAGACACGGCCCAGACUCCUACGGGAGGCAG
rnacentral:rRNA from 1 species